ACAUCUUCGUAUUCCUGAAUGGCAUUGAAUAAUUUUGAUCUUUCUUCUUGGUUUAGAUGAGAUGAUCGGAUUUCAUUGAUUAUCGGGGUAUUGGAAGGUUGUUUUAUAGGAGAGCGACUAAUUUCUUCGAAGUUGUGAAUUUCAGCUAUAGGUACCUCGCUAUCAAAAAGUAGGGUGUUAGGUUCGUGUUCUAGGUUAGUUACGGGAAAUAUACACUCAAAAAAAUCCAAACGUCAAGGCUACGUGAAAAAUCACGUAGAACCUGGAAAAUGAAUUUUUCAAGAAUUUACCUGACAUACGUAACAAUCAUCGGACCAUAGAUCAAAAUUAAAUGAACUGUCAAUAGCUGCUACUAAAGUUCCCUAUCACUACUACGUGAUGAUCACGUACGUAGUCUCAUUCAUUUUGACAGCUAAAUGUUGUGUUCAUUCAGUAUCCAUUCUACUGUGUGUCGGACGGACAUAACAAAUCCGUAAACGAUUGGAACUGUUUGGGGGUACAUGGAUCGGUUAAAAUUGAUCCAGCUUGGUGAAAAAUCAUCAUAAAUCUAAAUCGUAAUUCAGCGAAGCUGUAGCCAGGAGCGGGUUGCCAAUAGUGACCACCGGACUUACGUGUAAAGUUCAAGAUGGCACCAGUUUGCUCGGAGUCGCAGAUACUAACCCGUGCCUCGAAUUUUCCAACAACGACCUUAGAUUAAUUCAAUUGAGUGUUAGAAUAAGAACAUCUCCCGCCCUUGUGCAAGAACCAGCUUCUCAGACCAUCUCGACUAUGGAAGAAGCAUUGAACCAAAUGUGAGAAACAAAGACCAUCAAUGAAAUAAAUAAUGCAGAUAUGCAAUUA